rnacentral:rRNA from 1 species
UACGUAGGGUGCGAGCGUUGUCCGGAUUUAUUGGGCGUAAAGAGCUCGUAGGCGGUUUGGUAAGUCGGAUGUGAAAUCUCCAGGCUCAACCUGGAGGGGUCAUUCGAUACUGCCAUGACUAGAGUUCGGUAGGGGAGUGUGGAAUUCCUGGUGGAGCGGUGAAAUGCGCAGAGAUCAGGAGGAACACCCGUAGCGAAGGCGGCACUCUGGGCCGAUACUGACGCUGAGGAGCGAAAGCGUGGGGAGCGAACAGG